rnacentral:lncRNA from 1 species
UCACGGCCCGCGACUCCGCUCCGGUAAAUACGAAGCCCGGCUGAGGGGGAGGAGCGGCGGACCCGCAACUUCCCUCCCCGCCGCGCGCACCGCCGGGCCUAGACCUCCCUGACCGCCGGACCGGGCGAGCCCGCUACGUGCUCCCGCUGGGCCGCCGCCGCCUCCUGCGCCGCCGCUUCCGCCGGUGAAUGGUCAGCGCUGGAGUUUGAACAGGGCCCUGAACCAUCUCAACGCCAUUUGCGCUCCCGGCCCCCACCUCCUUCCUCCAACAGCCGCUCGCUCCGUCACUCCGCUUCCCACAGGCCCCGCGCGGCGUCCGACCCCGCAGCCAAUCGCGGGGCCGCUUACUCAAACCGCCGCGCAGGCGCCGCGCCCCGCACGCGCCGCCGCCCGCCAUUGGCCAGGCAGUGGGGAAUGACGGGAGUUGUAGUCGCGGUGCGCGAGAUCGCGGGACCGCGAGUCCCGCGCGUGACGGAGCGAGGGGGUUGUGGAGCUGCCGAGGCUUCGAGCCUCGCCUGCUCUGGGUCCGGAGCCGGUUCCCGCACCCCGGCACCACCGGGAGACGCAGGUGCCGCUGGGGUCCCCGGGGGCGCAGUGCACGCAGCUGUGUCAAUCGUUUCCCCUCCAGGGAUUCGGCGGCGUCUGGGGAUGGUGGCUGGUGCAGCUGCUCAGGGCCUCAGGGGCCGCCGCCGGGAGCGGGAGCCUGCAGACCGAAGCCGCGCGGACUCGGCCGGCUCAGGGACCCGCGGCCGGGAGCCCUGCGCCCGCCCCGCCUGGGAACUGCGACCCCCAGCAUCCCGCACGCAGCAGCCGCGUCGGGGCCGCUAACGGCGAUGCGAAGUUUUUUUAUUAAAGCGUGCGCAGCUCUUCAGGGGCCUCAUUGGUGUCCCGGCCUCCUGUCCCCUCUCACAUUGGAAGGAAAGGGAAAGGCUGACACUUGCUCAAGGCCUUCGACGGAGGGAAUCCAACUUUUUCUUGACUAUCAGCUGCCCAUCAGUGCGCAUGGCUAUUCUUCCAUCUGGCAGAAAGAGGUUGCCCUCCUUGUACUGCCUGGAGGAGGGCAGAGCUGAAUACCAGCUUUCCCUGAGGAGGAAAUCCUACUGGACCUGAUAGUGCACGCCUGAGGCAGGAGGAUCUCGUUGAACUACAAUGGCAGAGCCUGUCUCAGAAAAGAAACCUCCACAGACACCAUGCUGCUGUGCCCACGUUCUACGCGUGUCAGAACUGGAGAUGCUAACGCAGCCCUCUGAGUCUUCUCAUACCUCACACGGAACGGCAUGCAGGAAUUACCAUGUUAGAGCAAGCCAUCUCCCCUGUGCCUAGGGCCUAGGACGAGGAAGAAAAUAGUUAAACUGUCCAUCUAUCUGCACAGUGUGGUUCUGUUCCAACACCUGAAGGCAGCCCUUCCUGUCGGGUGCCCCUGUCUGUUUUUGUUGGUUUUUUGGUUUUUGUUUUUUUUUUUUUUUUGUCUUUUUGAGACAUGGUCUUGCUAUGCAGUUCAGGCUGGCCUUGAGCUCACUUUGUAGCCCAGGCUGAUCUCGAACUCACAAUGAUCCUCCUACCUCAGCCUCCCGAGUGCUGGGAUUACAGGCGUGCGCCACCACUCCCCACUGCUGGCCCUGUCUGUGUCCUGGCUCCUUUCUGUCCCCCAGGAAGUCCUCUGCCACGUCCUCCACUGACUUCUCCGACUGUCAUUUCUUUUAGGUUUUCGCUGAGCACUCCGCCUACUUUAAAUCUCGCAGCCAAGCUCACUGUCCCAAGUGCUGCUUCUCCUCGGUGCACACCACCCCAUCCCGCAUGUCAGUUCUCGGGCUUGUGCUACAUGUUCACCUGCCCUGUGACAACGGGCUCUGCCUCUGGUUUUCUGGUGUAGCCUUAGCAUCUAGAAGAAUGCCUGGCACAUAGUUGGUGUUCAAUAAAUAUUUGUUGAAGUUGAGCAUGGAGGUGCACACCUGUAGUCCUAGGGCUUAGGAGACUGAGGCAGGAGGAUCGCCUGACCUACAGAGCUGGAGGCCAGCAUGAACUAGGAAAAAAUUGUAUCUUGCAAAGAAAAUGACUUGAUGUUAACAACAGCUGGGAACCACCUGCAGGCUCCCGCCAAUUGUUAAGAGUUUCCCAGUGGGGAGGGGGUGCUUCAGGAGGUACCUUUUGUUCCUAUAAAGCCGGAAGAUGAAUGGCAAUUACCUUGUUUUCCAGGAUAAUUGGAAUCUGUCCUCUGGAGAGGGUGCAUCCUCCCUGGGGAAUGAAUUAUAGCCUCAAAGCCUCUACCAGCUCACACUUCCCAACCUUUGUCCUGAAAACAGCCCUCUCCUCCCCAGGGUCCUCACCCCUGUGGCCCUCACCUCCCCAGUGGCCCAUGCCUGUAAGACUGAGGCAGGAGGAUUUCUGAGGCUAACCUGGGCCACAUAGUUUAAGGCUAACCUGAACUAUAGUGCAAGAUCCUGUCUAAAAAAUAAAUAAAUAAAUAAAACAAGCCAGGCAGGGUAGUGCAUGCCUGUAAUCCCAGCACUCGGAAGGCUGAGGCAGGAGGAUUGUUGUGAGUUUGAGACCAGCCUGAACUGCAUAGCAAGACCCUGUCUCAAAAAAAAAAAAAAAAAAGACAAACCUGCCUAAAGCUACCCCAUCCUCGAGCCAUACCUUUGCAAGUUGACUUUAGAUGCCUCCCAGGAUAUUUGUUGACCCUGUGAGUUGCUCCAGCCAAGGGAAGGUGGCAGAUGUGACAUCAGUUCUGAGUUUGGCCUUGAAAAACCUUACAGAUCUAUAUCACCUUCUGGAUCCCUGCCUCCGCCUAGGACAGCAGGCCCAAACUGGCCUGCAGGAGAAGUCACACAGCAUAAAGCGUCCAUAGCACCCAGCUGGCUGAAGCAGGCUCCAAACCCCAUAGCACCCAGCUGGCUGAAGCAGGCUCCAAACCUCAUCUGCAAAGCCACGCCCUGCCCUGCAGCCACUAAACACUCCUGGCUGGCACCCCUGAAACGGAGGUGCUGCGGGGCUCAGCUACAGUUGAUGAGCAAGAGCAGCCAGGUGUUCUGUCACCUCUGAAUCGGCGUUUGUCAUUCAGCACUAUCGUGGUGGUAGAGGGUUGUACAGCAGUGGUUUCUGUGGUUAUGGAAAGCAGCUCUGUGGUCAGUGUCCUGUUUUUUGGGAGGGGUGUACAAGGUCUCACUAGGUAGUCCCGACUGGCCUCAAAUGCAAGAUCCUCCUGCUUUGGCCUUUCCAGUGCUGGAUUAUAGGCAUGUGUCCCUAGCCCAGACUCACAGUAUAUUAAUAACUCUCAGCAUGUUUGCUUAUUUUUUAUUAUCUCUCACCACACUAGAAUGUCACCUAUGGGAAGACAAUGAUCUUGUGUGUUGUGACCCCUGUUGUAACCUAAGCUCCAUAGUCCAGGGUCAUAGCCACAACUGUGUGCCUCUGGGCCCUUGAAAUGUGAAAUGUGCCUGGCAUGGUGGCACACACCUGUAAUUCCAGCACCUGGGAGACUGAGGCAGGAGGAUUUCUGCAAGUUUAAGACCAUCCUGAACCACAUAAUAAGACCCUGUCCAAAAAAAACAAAGACUAAAAUGUGUUACUUUUUUUUCAUAAAAUUUUUUAAAAACUUAAAAAUGUAAAAUGCACAGAGGGGAGGAGGGGUUGAAAGGAGGAUAGGAGAAUGGGGAAAAGAAAAAAUGUAAAAUGCACAUUGGCUUUUAGAGGCUUAGCUCAAAAAAAAUAUAAAGUCUGUUGAUAAUUUUCACAUUGAUUAUAUGGGGUUUUUUUCGGUUUUUGUUUUUUUUUUUUGUCUUUUUGAGUCAGGGUUUCGCUAUACAGUUCAGGCUAAACUUGAACUCACUUUGUAGCCCAGGCGGGUCUCAAACUCAUAACAAUUCGC